rnacentral:rRNA from 1 species
CCUACGGGUGGCAGCAGUGGGGAAUAUUGCACAAUGGGGGAAACCCUGAUGCAGCGAUGCCGCGUGUGUGAAGAAGUAUCUCGGUACGUAAAGUUCUAUCAGCAGGGAAGAAAAUGAUGGUAUCUGACUAAGAAGCCCCGGCAAACUACGUGCCAGCAGCCGCGGUCAAACGUGGGGGGCAAGCGUUAUCCGGAUUUACUGGGGUAAAAGUGAGCGGAGGCGGAAGGCCAAGUCAGCGGUAAAAUCGCGGGGCUCAACCUCGAUCCGCCGUUGAGACUGGCGUGCUUGAGUGGGCGAGAAGGAUGCAGAAUGCGUGGUGUAGCGGUGAAAUGCAUAGAGAUCACGCAGAACUCCGAUUGCGAAGGCAGCAUACCGGCGCCCAACUGACGCUGAGGCACGAAAGCGUGGGUAUCGAACAGGAUUAGAUACCCUGGUAGUC